CAAAAUCAAGAGCAAAUUUGUCAUCUAUGAAAAUAAUUUAAUAUGUUACUAGUUCUAUAGGCUUUUUACUAGUUUUAUAGGCUUUUUGAUUUUGUUAUUUUGUUGAUAAAUUAUUUUAUUAUUUGAGUGUUUUUGUUAUAUUUAUGAAAAUGAGAUAGAAAUGUAAAAGCAAUCUAUGGUAAGGGUUUGUAUUAGAGAGAGUGAUUCGGGAAGUGCGGUGUGUGUUCG
rnacentral:lncRNA from 1 species